UUCAAUUCCUUUUUCAUAAAUCUUAUCCUCCAUUAGGAAAUCCUUGCUUGGAGAUUUUGCCUCUUGUCAAUGCAAAUAUGGCUACUCACUGCUACCUCCGGUCCAGACGCUCUCCGUCACCGACCUGCACUGCGACGUUUGGGACUUCCGCUACAUCUACCACGGAACUCCCCGGAGGCACUUGCUCACCACCGGCUGCAGCAAGUUCGUCAACCACAAAAGAUGCUCGUCGCCGGCGAUUCUGUGGUGUUUAUGAGCUCCAGAGGCGGGGAGGUGUAGGUCGGGGUAAGGCGGACCGUGAGGGCCAGCCCCGGCGGCGAUUGCAGCAGGUAGAGCUCUCACAUUGGGCUGAAGUCGGAGGAGGAAGGUUCUGGAACUGACGGCUUUAAGAGAAGGCUUUCGGCGGCGCAGGACAUGCCUUUUGAGGUGGUGUAUUAUCCGAAAGCUGGGUGGGCCGGCUUUGUGGAGAAGGCAUUGAAGGUGUAUGCUUCAGGUUACAUGGGAUGAACCUGAAGUUCUGCCGAAUGCUAAGAGGGUGAGCCCAUGGCAAGUUGACUUUGUUGCAUCAACACCUUCUCUUCAUACUGUACCUUCACUUCAUACUGUAUAUCCCCCCACAAAUAGACUCAGAGCUCCACUGAAUCCUGGGCUGCUGAGAAAUGGAGAGGAAGAAUUCAUGAUACCUAUGACCGGAGCAGCUAAUUCACCAAUGGGGCAAUUCAACGCUUCCUUGUUGAACUAUAGCAUUUUUCCUGCUGGCAUGCAGGGAGCCAUUCUGUGUAUCCAAUGUAUCUCAUUUGUUAAAUGAAAAUUCUCCUCGGAUGUGCACCUAUAAUUCCUUUGGCAACAACAACAUGGUGCCAAGGUUGAAGAGGGUGUCUACUGAGUUGAACAUUGGAAGUCCACAGUCUGAUCAAUUAUCACCAGAUAGCCAGAGUAGUCCACAUUCCUCUGGCAUGGAACUUGAUGGGAACCGAAACUGCAACUCGACAAAGGUCGGAAGAAGUUCUUUUCAACUCUUUUGUCAGACCAUUCAACUUGAAGGUGUCAAUGCUGUUGGUUGCACUGGGGACGGUGGCAAUAUAGGGUAUAAUGAAACUGAACUUCUGAACAACCAACUGGAUCUUUCUUAUACCAAACUGCUUGAAAGGAUUGAUGUUCGAGUCUCAGCUGUUGAAGCUUGUACUUUGUAAACUACUUGUGGCAGCUAUGUCAUGCAGUUAAGUUACUGUACAGGCUCUCAAGUCUGGCAGAAGCUGAUUAGGAUUAUACAAUGUGUGUAUUCUGGUCUGUCUAGUUUGUGGUUUUGGACGUCAAAACAAUCAAUCUGUAGACUUGGUUUUCAAGUUUGGAAACUGAGUGUAGAUGCUAAUGCUAGAAGAUGCUAUAUUAUUGUUCUUCAGGUUUACAUGUAAUUUAAAUCUUUACGUGUUUAUUGGAUUCAAUGUAAUUGUGAUGGUUUGGUACUACAUCCCAUUCUGGAAUUCUGGUUUUCCUUGAUAAAAGUGGCAGGGAAUGUGUUUUUGUUUCAUACUUUCGGAUAAAUCUAAUACAGGAGAAUCCGGACCAAGAGGAUGUUCAUUUUUACUUUGUUAGUCAUGGUUCAGUUUGAGGGACGGGCCCAAACCGACUCUAUGACGUUCUCCGUGCUCUAUCGUGUGUAGAGUAGCAGCAUUAUAACAGUUAAACUGAACUUGGGAUGACAUGAAAUGUAUUUUAAACUUUGAAAGUCUAAUUUUCUUGCUAGUCUUCUAUUAGCACAAUCUUUCAAAAAGGCAAAAAAAGAAGAACAACCUUACUCUCUCUACUUAUGAACAGUAACGCGCUUAUGAACAGUGUGCUGGCUAUUUUGCCCCUCUAUUUUUCCUACUUUCACGUUGUUGCCCCCGACAGGUGUUUGCAGCCUGCCACUGCUGUGUGUUCGGUCUGUAGAAAGACAUCUCCAGGAAUAGAAAGAGUGAGAGAGGGUGGGAAAGGUUAAGCACGACGCUCUCUCUGUUCUUCUUUGCUUCGCACGAGAAGAGAGAGGGAGAGCGAAAGGCAACGACUUUUUUAUCCGCUUCUAGGCCAGCUGGUUUUCAUCGGAGUGAGGGGGAUUGCAGCCUUCUUGGAUGUGAUGAGCCCAUCCCAGUUGUAAGAGGCUUUGCUAGGUAUGUUAUUGAUUUUGCCCACCUCCACUUCUAACUAUUUGAAGGAGGGGGAAUGCACCAUGUUAAGUUGGGAUUGCGUCGUCUUCUGGAUUUUGGUGCAUGUUAAUGAAUUAGGCAAGUGUCUUCUGGAUUCAUCUUAUCACGAGAGAUAUGAAAAGCUGGUGGUGUGGGGAUAUUAGCUGUCACCGAUAUCGUUUGGACUAAAUGACAGCCACUGCAAUCAAUUUCUUGGAAGAAGUUGGAGACAUAUUCCUAACAACUCAACAGAACCUUUAGGAGUAAUGGUCUUGAAGUCUUGAGGACUCUUCCCAGAACGCUGACGUUCUACCAACCCAAAUAACUUUCUUCAGCUCUUGAUAAGCCUCUUGCAGUACUUUCUAAAGAGGCCUUGGCAAAGAAACAAGCCACCAAAAUAGGAGAGGCCAUUGAAUUAUUGUCAACAGGAAAGAGCUAAAUUGGUGCAGCUAAAAAGACUAGACAAUGUGUUAGUCAAUCUUACCAGCCAGCGGGGAAUGGCUCUUUCUUGAACCCCUCUCAAUUACAUCUGAUAAAAUCAGAUAUGCAGUUGACAUGCCACAGUUGGCUACUAUUUGGUUGGAGCACAAGGAUUCCUUAGCUGGUAAUUGUGUGAUUGAGUAAAAGCUUGAUCCUUUAAUAGAUCUGAUAACUGCAAAGUGACACCUUUGAAGAUGUAGCAACACCAUCAGAUCAGACCAGCACAAAUGCAUUGGUUCAAUCUGACACAGAAGACAAUUCUGCUCUACAACCCUUUUUCUUUUGCUUUUUGUCAUGCUGCGUAACUUUUUGUGAUAAAGACCAUUCUAUGUUUUUGUAAUGCUAGCGGUCCAUGAAGAACAAUGUUAUAUAUGCUGUGUGCAUAUAACCAGCGGUUGUCAGGAGCAUUCUCUAUGUUUUUUUAUAAUACUAAUGGUCCUUGAAAAACAAUCAACAAAAACAGCAGACAUUUUGUACACCUACUAAUCAAUGUACGUAAGGGCUUUUUUGCUAUUCUUCUUUAUUUUCUCA